UUAAUUGAAGCCAAAAAGAGGCAUUUUAUUGUUAAUAAAAUAAAUGAUUUAUAUUAAUCCAAUUAAA
rnacentral:tRNA from 1 species